GCUGGGCAUGGUGGCGCAUGCCUGUAAUCCCAGCAGCUCAGGAGGCUGAGAAAGAGAGAUUGUGAGUUCAAAGUCAGCCUCAGCAAAAAGCAUGGUGCUAGGCAAAUCAGUGAGACCCUGUCUCUA
rnacentral:sRNA from 1 species